CACAUCCAAGUACUAGAAGUGAGAUGCAACACAUAUGAUUUAUCAUAGUUGAUUUUUGAGAAAAGUCAUGGAAGCCGGCACACUUUAAACCCUGUGUACAUUCCCAUUAGGUCAGGAUAUGUGUCCCUCAUUCUCCAGAUGCAACAACUAGGUAUGACAACUAUAUUGCCCUUGUCCAGACAACUGUGUUGCCAAAGCACAAACUGACAAUAUGCGGCAUGUCUGUUACAAUGCUGCUGCUCUCCAGGUUCUUGUAUGCCAUCUACAGCGAAGAUGUCGUUCCAAGCAGCACAAACAAGUAGCAUAACCUUCUCAUCAAGAAUAUAAUAGUCCAUAUGAGUGUGGAACUCAGGCAGCAGACUGCAGGUGGCUGCAGUUGAUGGGUGGGCAUGGCAUCAGAGAACCUUCGUCUCGGGCUUUAAAAGGAGUACACAGACAGCUGGAAGACACCAGAGUGCUACCCCAUUGUGUUUGUCGUGUUUGGAUCUACUCACCUGUGUUGGCGUCGUGCUCAGUGAACCAGCCAUCCGAAUCCCUGAUGCUCAGAUUUU